rnacentral:rRNA from 1 species
CGUCAAAUCAUCAUGCCCCUUAUGUCCUGGGCUACACACGUACUACAAUGGCUGUUAACAGAGGGAAGCGAAGCAGUGAUGCGGAGCGAAUCCCGAAAAGCAGUCCCAGUUCGGAUUGUAGGCUGCAACUCGCCUACAUGAAGUCGGAAUUGCUAGUAAUCGCGGAUCAGCAUGCCGCGGUGAAUACGUUCCCGGGCCUU